AAUUGUUACUUGUUGAAUGUAUUUUAUUUCAUUUUGUUUUGGUAAAUAAGAAUAAAUCUAAGCUUAAUCUUUAUUAACAACCACCAAACACAAUGGAGCCUGCCAAGCGCUUUUAGUUACUUCGAAAAAAUUGUCAACACAAUGUUAUGAUUGGUUUGUGUUGACUUUGUAAUUAGUUAGGCCCAGAUAGACACAUCAACUGGGGCCACAAAGGAGUCCAAAAGUAACAUGGCCCGCAGGCACCAAUGCUGUACGGUGGCCAGAGUUUAUUAAUUUUUGGGGAAUACUCAGAACUAGAAAAAGACAAAACGAAAUGCAUUUAUGUCAGCAGACACCAGGAACCACAAAGAGAAAAAGUAUUGAGAGGAACUGGACAUGCCAAGCACUGUUGGUGUGCGCCUGUGAAGGACGAUAAAGUUUGUCCAGCAGAUUUGAGGAGUCCUCCUGCCCAAUCUCGACCACAUUGUUUGCCAUACACUUCAUUUAUUUGGAAUUAGACCAGGCACUCCACUCAGCUCCGCUGGAUGCACUCGAAUUUGAAUCCUUUAUGAAGCGUGGCACCAACAACUGGACCCAAAAACAGGACACGGCACACAUGCUCAUGCAUACACAUCUUCGCAGGACUGCACAAGUAGCCUCAGCUACUCCUCUGUUUCCCAGUUUGAGUCAACUUCGGGUCCAGUAUGUGCAGCAGACCAAAAACCAUUGAUUGUCAUCGAAUAGCCCCCCAGAAGUGGAAGAAAAAGCGCCAGGACGAGGCAGAUUAAGCUUAUUUUAAGAUUCCAACUGACUUGUACCGUGUAAUGCUUUGCAAGGGAUUAUUAAAAAUAUGUAAUAUAUUUAUUUUCUUUGAUGUAAUAAAUUUUGGAUGCGUAAUA